rnacentral:rRNA from 1 species
UCAGGAAUCUUGCGCAAUGGGGGAAACCCUGACGCAGCGACGCCGCGUGGGUGAUGAAAUCCUUCGGGAUGUAAAGCCCUUUUCUUGGGGAAGAAGGAUGUGACGGUACCCAAGGAAUAAGCCCCGGCUAACUACGUGCCAGCAGCCGCGGUAAUACGUAGGGGGCGAGCGUUGUCCGAAUUUACUGGGCGUAAAGCGCACGUAGGCGGCUUGCCAAGUCCGGUGUGAAAUCCCGAGGCUCAACCUCGGAAGUGCACUGGAAACUGGCUGGCUUGAGUGCAGGAGAGGAGAGUGGAAUUCCUGGUGUAGCGGUGAAAUGCGUAGAUAUCAGGAGGAACACCCGUGGCGAAGGCGGCUCUCUGGCCUGCGACUGACGCUGAGGUGCGAAAGCUAGGGGAGCGAACGGG